GUGACGUUGCGGUGUGCGGCCUCUCGGACGAGAAGACUGGGCUUACGUUGGAUGCAAGUUAUUGUCGUCCGGCAAGGUUUUAAAAAGUGAUGUUAUAGCCACUGGACAUUGAAGCGAUUGAAGACCUGAAAGCCUUAGUGCGACCGGCUUGAUUCAGGUGGCUUAUAUGUAUACCAUUGGGAGAGUUAAAGAAGUUUAGUCCUCUAAAAGAAGUCCUCCG
rnacentral:lncRNA from 1 species